rnacentral:rRNA from 1 species
CAAUCCUACGGGACGCAGCAGUGGGGAAUAUUGGGCAAUGGGCGCAAGCCUGACCCAGCAACGCCGCGUGAAGGAAGAAGGCUUUCGGGUUGUAAACUUCUUUUAAGAGGGACGAAGAAAGUGACGGUACCUCUUGAAUAAGCCACGGCUAACUACGUGCCAGCAGCCGCGGUAAUACGUAGGUGGCAAGCGUUAUCCGGAUUUAUUGGGUGUAAAGGGCGUGUAGGCGGGAAUGCAAGUCAGAUGUGAAAACUA